rnacentral:rRNA from 1 species
GAUGAACGCUGGCGGCGUGCCUAAUACAUGCAAGUCGAGCGGACAGACGAUGAGCUUGCGCCCCUGACGUUAGCGGGGGACGGAUGAGUAACACGUGGAUAACAUACCUAUAAGACUGGGAUAACUUCGGGAAACCGCAGCUAAUACCGGAUAAUAUAUUGAACCGCAUGGAGCAAUAGUGAAAGACGGCUUUGCCGACACAUAUAGCUGGAUCCGCGCCGCAUUAGCUAGUUGGUAAGGUAACGGCCCACCAAGGCGACGAUCCGUAGCCGACCUGAGAGGAUGAUCAGCCACACUGGAACUGAGACACGGUCCAGACUCCUCCGGGAGGCAGCAGUGGGGAAUAUUGGACAAUGGGCGCAAGCCUGAUCCAGCCAUACCGCGUGGGUGAAGAAGGCCUUCGGGUUGUAAAGCCCUUUUGUUGGGAAAGAAAAGCAGCAGGUUAAUACCCCGCUGUUCUGACGGUACCCAAAGAAUAAGCACCGGCUAACUUCGUG